UCCCGUGUGGCUCAGUUGGUAGAGCAUGGUGUUUGUAAUGCCAGGGUUGUGGGUUCGAUGCCCACGGGGGAU
rnacentral:tRNA from 1 species